GACGAACGCUGGCGGCGUGCUUAACACAUGCAAGUCGAGCGGUAAGGCCCUUUCGGGGGUACACGAGCGGCGAACGGGUGAGUAACACGUGGGUGACCUGCCCUCAGCUCUGGGAUAAGCCUGGGAAACCGGGUCUAAUACCGGAUAUGACUCCAUGACGCAUGUUGUGGGGUGGAAAGCCUUGUGCGGCUGAGGAUGGGCCCGCGGCCUAUCAGCUUGUUGGUGGGGUGAUGGCCUACCAAGGCGGCGACGGGUAGCCGGCCUGAGAGGGCGACCGGGCCACACUGGGACUGAGACACGGCCCAGACUCCUACGGGAGGCGAGCAGUGGGGAA
rnacentral:rRNA from 1 species